rnacentral:lncRNA from 1 species
UUAUUACCGGGAAGACUUCUCUGACCAGAAGGGUGUCGGCUUCCUUGAAGCCGGAAAAAGGGCGGGGCCGUACAGGCCGGUGGCGUCCGACUAUUGCUGCUGGGCGCUUCAACCUCUGACCCAAGGCCCUUUUUAACCGUCCCCCCCAUCACGGAAUGAACACACUGCGGGAGCGGGAAAAGGAGAGACUGUUCAGGAAGGCUGGCUAAUGUUUGGGUGGCAUGAGGGCAGCAGAACCCAGCAGGGCCCUUGUGCCACAUUUGCAAAAUUUCCAAGCCUGGAGCUGGAAGCUGCCGCUGGUGGAUCAAGACCCUGCUGGCAUGCGGAGACAGCCCAAGUCCGACUGGACUCAUGGGUAAAUGUGAAUUAGGAUUGGAAUUCAAGAGCGCCACACGACUCUGCGCAAGAAAGACGCACAAAACUGGCAGUGCUCCACAGCGAUAGUGAUAAUAAUGUGGCGUGCCUGCUACGAUAAUGGGGAGGGAGGGAUCGAUGAGGCUCUGGGCCCCUGUUGAGUCAAUACAGCAUAGAACUAGAUCCUCCUGUACAAGAAGGGCUAGCUCGUGGAGGGUCCGAUCUGUAGCGGAAACCCCUGGACCGAAGGGAACCAAGUGUACAUGAAGGGGAUACUGAGGUCUACAGCUGUAGACCCGGUUAUUUACUUCUAAAUCAUCUACAGGGGCCUAAGGAGACACACCCUUACAUAUAACUCAUGGGAAUGACGGGGUCUAGGGGACCAUUACAGGGCCACGGGCUGCCGUACAGCCGUACAAACCCUCAAUGUGUGAAUUGUACAAGUACUUUGGAGCACACAUCACACCUAUAGGUUGGAGCAGUGGAAUAGCCCACUACCACGCCAGCCAUGGAAUGAAGCAACGAGGUCCAAGAAUAUAGGAAACCGGGGCUACACCCGGCCAGCACCUCCGAUCAAGCAAACUUGCAAUUUGGCCAUCCAGCUGCAGCUGUCCACGCGGCAGUACAGUACAGUUGGUACAGUACGUUACCCCUUGGGCCACCCGCCCCAACAUUUCGGCCGCCGCUCCCUAGAAGAUUACGCGUGAAUAUGAACCCGCAUUUUAACUAGUUUGGACCAUGAAUUUCUUAUGAAAGGUGGAGGACAUGUGAUAUCGCGCCGAGGGAUCGACGACGCGUUGGUCCGGCUUCCAUUAGACCGCUAGCGUGGAUUUUUAAGAUAACUGCGAGGCUAAAAUUUGGGCACUUGAAGCACGCGGUUGUAGCCACUUUUUUUAAGCUGACAGGGCCCGCCAUUGUUAGUCCGUAUUCAGGGUCGCGCGAGCUCAAUCCUGCAUAGUAAUCGAAUGUAUUGGUCAAUUAGAUAUAUGCAGAUUGUGAUAAUUUCGAUGCUCUACUCAAUUUGUUUCGGUGCAUGGUAAACUUACCACAUGAGAGGCCUCAGGCGGUAAGUUCACGAGCUCCAGUGAUCCUAUUUAACUAAUUCAGUAUGAUAGUCCCUUAGGUAUUCAUUUAAUUUACAUUUGCCGCCUUAGUUAGCUAUGCCGCCGCACCGACGGUUAAAACGUGGAGUUGCGGAACGCUUACAGUUGGCAUAACUCAGCUAUCGACUAUGCGAUAGAGUUAGCUCAAAGUAGCCUUUAACUCAGUACUAGCCCGCUCGACUUUGAGCCAACUUCUCGUGGGGUGGAACGGCAGCUAUCUUACUCUAAUUACAGGACGCGAACUGGCUG